UACGAAGGGGGCUAGCGUUGCUCGGAUUGACUGGGCGUAAAGGGCGCGUAGGCGGUUUGUACAGUCAGACGUGAAAUUCCUGGGCUCAACCUGGGGGCUGCGUUUGAUACGUGCAGACUUGAGUUCGGAAGAGGGUCGUGGAAUUCCCAGUGUAGAGGUGAAAUUCGCAGAUAUCAGGAAGAACACCAAUGGCGAAGGCAGCUCUCUGGGACGGUACUGACGCUGAGACGCGAAAGCGUGGGGAGCGAACAGG
rnacentral:rRNA from 1 species